AGCGAACGCUGGCGGCAGGCUUAACACAUGCAAGUCGAGCGGGGAAGGGUAGCUUGCUACCUGCCCUACGGGGGACGGGUGAGUAAUGCUUAGGAAUCUGCCUAUUAGUGGGGGACAACAUUCCGAAAGGAAUGCUAAUACCGCAUACGCCCUACGGGGGAAAGCAGGGGAUCUUCGGACCUUGCGCUAAUAGAUGAGCCUAAGUCAGAUUAGCUAGUUGGUGGGGUAAAGGCCUACCAGGGCGACGAUCUGUAGCGGGGUCUGAGAGGAUGAUCCGCCACACUGGGACUGAGACACGGCCCAGACUCCUACGGGAGGCAGCAGUGGGGAAUAUUGGACAAAGGGCGCCAGCCUGAUCCCGCCAUGCCCGCGUGUGUGGAAGAAGGGCUUUUGGGUGCUAAACCUUUAAAGCGAGGAGGAGGGUCCUUUGAUUAAUACUUAGGAUAAUGGACAUUUACUCCCCCAAAUAAACACCCGCUAAAUCUGUGCCCCUCAGCCCCCGGUUAAUAAAAAGGGGGCGAAGCGUUAUUCGAAUUUUCCUGGGCGGAAAAGCUUGCGUAGGGCGCUUUUUUUAAAGCUGAGUUUGAAUCCCCUGACCUUAAACUUUGGGAAUUUGCCUUUCCAUCCUGGGAAAUCCAUAGUAUU
rnacentral:rRNA from 1 species